rnacentral:lncRNA from 11 species
GAAUGCUCCUAAACUAUGUAUCUGCUAUCUCAGGGAGAGUGCAACUUUAUCCGUGACUGGCAGCUUACCUGAAACCUACCAGUACAAGAGUCGUCAUAUUAUCAGGUUUUAACUUCAAUGAGUUGAUUCUUGUCCAAACCAUUAUAGCAUCUUAGCACUAGUCCAGCACCUCCCGUUUCCUAACUGGCAUCAAGAAGAAAUAGAACCAAAGGAAAUACAGAUCCUAGCAAUGGAGUUCGUGGAUUUUGCACUAAAUGAGCUUUCACUUGGUCAUCAGAAACAGUCUUGUUCUUAUAAAGUCCAAG